rnacentral:rRNA from 1 species
UACGUAGGUGGCAAGCGUUGUCCGGAAUUAUUGGGCGUAAAGCGCGCGCAGGCGGUCCUUUAAGUCUGAUGUGAAAGCCCACGGCUCAACCGUGGAGAGUCAUUGGAAACUGGGGGGACUUGAGUGCAGAAGAGGAAAACGGAAUUCCACGUGUAGCGGUGAAAUGCGUAGAGAUGUGGAGGAACACCAGUGGCGAAGGCGACUUUCGCUGGCCUAUAACUGACGCUGAGGCGA